rnacentral:rRNA from 1 species
UACGGGGGGAGCAAGCGUUGUUCGGAUUUACUGGGCGUAAAGGGCGCGUAGGCGGCCACCGCAAGUCGACUGUGAAAUCUCCGGGCUUAACCCGGAAAGGUCAGCCGAUACUGCGGGGCUAGAGUGCAGAAGGGGCAACUGGAAUUCUCGGUGUAGCGGUGAAAUGCGUAGAUAUCGAGAGGAACACCUGCGGCGAAGGCGGGUAGCUGGGCCGACACUGACGCUGAGGCGCGAAAGCUAGGGGAGCGAACGGG